GGCCAUUAUCACAUGAUGCCGUUGUGCCAUUAUAACAAUGCAUUAGUCCUGCAUUUACCUUAAGCUUAUCAUACAAAGGCAUUGCUCUCCAGGCAUUGCUGCAUGGAAGAGUAGUUGAAAACUUAGGGGGAUUUUUUCAUGCUGGAAAUAUUCUGUUAAUGAUCCCACUUUGCCACAGCAAUUCAGUAACCAGUUAGGGUGCAGAUAUCUCAUAGUUCUUCCUUCCAUGAAUCAUCCCUUCCUCAAGGAUUCCAAAGGAAACUUCUGCAAGAAAACACCAAACAACUUUCAGUACUUUGCAGAAGGAUGUGUGGAAAAAGGGAAGUCAAACGGCAGUGGAGAGAGUGCAAAAUCCCUCUUAAUAUGCAGCUGGGAGAUCUAAAGGUUCCAGGAGUGAAAAGAAAUAAAUCUGCAAGUCUGAAGUUCACCCAUGCCUGAUGUAGAAAAUAUCAGGCUACAUGGACCAAUGGCCAGAUUCAAUAUGAGGAAAUGUACUGUGUAGAGUGCCUAGUAAAUUUUAAGUACUGUAUAGUUUUUGUCUGAUAGGUUUAAACCAGAAAACCGAAUUCUCUCAGUACUUUACAAUUAUUACUCUAUAGCUGAAGGAAUAUUAAACCACAGAUCAAAAUGAAACAGAAGAGCUACCAGCAUUUUUCCAGGAUUGAUUAAAGUAUUGAGUCAGUAAUUAAAAGUUAUAAUCUGUGUUUAGUGAGUACUUAGCUAUGAUAAGCCAAAUGCCAUCAAACCAAUUACAAUAAAUCAGCUCUAGAGAAAACAAGUAUGGUAUUUAUUUCCAUUAUUUGUCAGGAUGUAUUUCACUAUUUGUCAACAUUGUAUUUUGAACAAUAGCCCCAAUGACAAUUCUGUUAGUAGUCUGCUACUGUUUAAUUUCCCAUUUACUGGGAUUAAAACCUUUAUUGAACUUAAUAGAUUUUACAUCAUUUCAAGUAUGAGGAGGAGGAAACAAUCUUUUCUGUUUGUUUCUCUCCCAGGUGCUGCUGCAAGAAUAUAACCAACAGUCAGUAAAUUGAAGCAGGAGAAAGGGUGGGAAUACCACCAAAGGAUACUGAGGUUCUCCAGCCAAAGCUAGGAGUGAAUCUUGCCUGAAUCUCUGGACAAUAAUUGCCCCACCGACAUGAAAGUCACCAGCUACUACUAUCAAAGCUGAGACAGAUGAAAGGAAGACACGUAGCAACUUACUUUGUCACUUCAUUUCUGUGCCUUCUGUUUAUCUAGAGCAUUCGCCUAUUUUAGUUUGUCAUUAAUUAGUAAUCUACCACACAUCCUAAUGUCACUAAACAAGUAAUGAACCAAAUUUGAUGAAGUAAUGAAUAAUAAUGUCUCCACUUUACUACAGCUGCUAAGUUUGGAGUCCCAUAAGAGGAGCAUUUAAGUGGAAAGCAAAAGAGACCAAUUGUGUCCUGAGGCCCUUUCAUGCAACAGCAUUAAAGCACUACAAUUCUACUUUUACAAUUUUACAAUUCACCAUGGCAGCAUCUUAUGAAAUUCUAGGAUUUGUAGUUUGUUGUGGUACAGGAGCUACCAGGAUGAGAAUCCUAAGUACCCCUCCCUAAACAACAAAUCCCAAGAAAUCAUAUAACUGAACCAAAGCAGUUCAAGUGAACUCUCUGCCUUGGGGUGUGGUGGAAGCUCCUACCUUGAACAGAGGCUGGAUGGCCAUCUGCCAGGGGUACUUUGUGCUUUUCCUGCAUAGCAGAGAAUUGGACUAGAUGACUCAUAUGGUAUCGUUCGACGCUAUGAUUCUAUGAUACCAUAACUAUAGUGUGAAAGACCCCUGGAACAAUGAGGUCCUUGAAGUAAUUGCUGCCUCUGGUGAAAUACAGGUCGUCAUUGUUUUUUAUUUUAAAAUAUUGAAAUCAUUGUGUCUCUACAACCAUGAACCACCCAUGAAUGAAAUGCUUACCAUUUGAAAGAAGGAGGCAUAGAGUUUUAAAUGAUUGUUGCUGGAUGCCUAUCCCAGUCCACGAACAGUCAUUCACAAAAUGGUGAAAUCAUAACAUAAGGCCUAAUGAGACAUUCUCCAUUUCCUGCUGAAAAACAUUGACCGCAGUCCUGCAUGGUUCAGCAAAACAUAGCAGCUUGGCAUGUGGAACUAUGGUCUGCUAUUACCCCUAAGACCCAGUGUGAGGCUACUAAUCCCUUUCAAUCAUUCUGCAACCCAAGACCUCCAACACCACUCAGCGUGGAACACAUAUAUCGAGAAUCUAACCUUGUAUCUUGUUUUAAUAAAUUGCCUUUGUGACUGCUUUCAAA